rnacentral:tRNA from 1 species
CCUGAUGGCUCAGAUGGUAAAGAAUCUGCCUGCAAAGCAGGAGACCUGGGUUCAAUCCUUGAGUCAGGA